AUUUAUGUCCAUAUCACCCUGAAUGUGCCCACUCUCCUCUGAUCUCAGAGGCUAAGCAGGGAUGGAUCUGAUUAAUACUUAGAUGGGAGACUGCCUGGGAAUAAGAGGUGCUAUGGGCU
rnacentral:rRNA from 1 species